AGUAACCCGGCUAUAGCCUUUAUAGAAUGCGCUGCAAAGCUCAAGAGGAAUCUGAAUGAGAAACUGAAAAAUCUCUGAGAUGGUUAUAUAAAGCUACACACAGAAAUGACUGAGAAACCAACAAUUGUUCCAAUGUCGAAAGACAUCGAGUUUGAUUUGUCCUUGGUCAUGGAUCCUGCUUCUCGAAGAGUAUAUGAGCAAAUAAAGAGGAAAAGACAUCACCAACAUGAAAAUAUUCCUCAUUUUUAUCGACAACGUGGUGGUAACCAACAAAUAAAUAAUCUGUAAGAUCAGGCACGUGCUAUUUUAGCACAGUUUGAUGAAAAUUGCGAUGAGGUAGAGCAGCAGCUUACACUUACAAACCAACAAGAAAACGCUGACAAUGAUAGUCAUACUUUCUCUUCUUGUGCGAAUGAGGAGCGACCAAUAGUUGAUGUAUCAUUAAAUUACACUAAUAAUGCUCAUGCUGAUGACGACAUAGUUGUGCCACCAAAGCGAUGAAGAACAAAUGUAUUAGAACCUCAACUAACAUGCGGUGCAAAAGGAGUUGAUAUCUCACAACCGAAGCAGAAUUCGUCCCCAGAAUUAUGAAAGGAAG